GAUUUCCCAACAAAUGCAAUUACAAAUGUUGACAGUAGCAUAUGAAGUGAAAGUGAACCAGGUGUGAAUGUAAGUAGCUCAGAGUUUCAUGAGAGUUUUGGCGGCGUCAAUGAACUUAUUUCCAUAAAUGUUGGGAUUGAGGGUGAGAAUGUUGAUGAAUAUGAGGAGAUUGAGAUAGAGGUUGAUGCAGGGUACCAUCCAGGGAGAGAAAAUGAAGAAUUAAACACAGCUUGUGAAAAAAUUAAGAAUUCUUUUUGCCAAUAGAAGAAAUGGCAAAAGAGUGGUGAAGAAGAUGAGGUUGAGGAAGCAAUUCAAGAUAAUGUUACCUAAGAAGAACCAGCUGAAGGAAAUCCUAAAGAGGUAUCCUUAGAAGAAAUCUUGGAGCAUGAUAAUGAUGAAGAACAGAAUGGAGAAGGCAAUGCAUUUGAUGAUGAAGGCAGCAUUGAAGAACUUGGUGGGGAUGAAGAUCAUGGAAUGUCAUAAGGAAAAGAAGAAAAAGGGUAAAGUAUAAUCCUUUUGUCACCCUUCGUUCAUUUAUGAUUGGAAUGGUUUUCGAAAAUUCCACAGAAUUUAAAGAUGCUUGCACUAAGUAUGCUAUAUCUAGGGGGGUUGAGGUAAAAUUUGUUAGGAAUGAUAGGGACAGAGUAAGAGGUAGAUGCACGUUCCCAGGUUGUCCUUGGGAGGUUUUUGCUUCAACGGAUGGAAACUCUAAUGAUCUUGUUGUCAAAACUUAUAAGCAUAAACACAAAUGCUUUAGAGUUUUUAGGAAUAAGAGGGUGUCCAUUAAGUACCUAGUUGACUAUUUUAGGGAUAUUAGUAAAUUGUAUCCUAAAACAAAGAUUAUGGGUAUGAUGGAAAUGGCAAAGAAUAUUUUGAGAGUUAAUGUGUCAUUUUCCAUGGCUAGAAGGGUGAAGAAAAAAUUAAAACUUGAGAUUGAAGGUGAUCAAAUAUUGAGUAUGGCAGGUUGGAGGAUGAUGCAGAGGAGUUAAGACAAAUGAAUAUAGAUUCUACUAUUCAGGUUCAUUCUAACCCUCAACACACAAGUUCGAGGGUUUCUAUGUAUGUUUUGAUGCCUUGAAAAGAGGAUGGAAGGCAGCUUACCGACCUGUGAUUGAUGUUGAUGGUUGUUUUAAAGACAUCAUGCAAAGGAGAGUUACUAAUGGCAGUUGGGAGAGAUGCAAAUGACCAACAGUUUCCUAUUGCAUGGGCAGUUGUUAGGAUAGAGAACAAGGAGAACAAGAACACAUGGAACUGGUUCAUAAAUCAGUUGAAAUCUGAUCUAGAUUUGGAGCACAAGCAAGAUUUGGUUAUAGUAUCAAACAUGUAGAAGGGACUCAUUGAUGCUGUGCAAAAUCAAUUGCCUCUUGCUGAACACAGAUGGUGUGCUAUGCAUAUAUUUAGUAGGUGGCAAAAAAAAUGGAGAGUUAUGAAAACAUUUUUGGAUUUGCUCAAAAAGUACGUAUUGGCAGCAAUUUCAAGACCAAUUGAAAGUCAUGGAUAGUCUUGCUCCAGGUUCAGUUGCUGAAUUGCUCAAUUGGCCUCCUCCAAAGUGGUGUCGAGCAUAUUUUGGUACUGCUAGUAAGUGUGAUAAAGUGGAUAACAAUAUGUGCGAGUCUUUUAAUGGAAACAUUUUGCAAUCUAGGACUAAGCAUAUUGUGACAAUGCUAGAAGAAAUAAGAAUUGACAUGAUGAAGAGGAUAGUUGAAAGAAGGAAAGAAGCUUCUAAGUGGGUUACAGACAUAAGUCCUGCAGCAAUAGUGAAGUUGGAACAAAACAUGGUUAGGGCAUGUCAGUGCCAUGUUGAGUUCAAUGGCAAUCAUGGAUAUGAUGUAUCAGAAGGAAACGAUAGGCAUACUUCUGACUUUGCUAAAAGAAUAUGCACAUGCAGGGCAUGUGAUCUCUCUAGUAUCCCAUGUGCACAUUGUAUCUGUGCUGUUUAUCACUCAAAAGGAAACAUAUUGGAUUAUGUAGAUGCAUGUUAUAGCAAGAAAAAUUCUUGUUGUCAUACAAUUUUUCACUUGAACCUGUGAAGGGUAGCAACAUGUAGCCAAUGACUGAAAAGCCUAGAAUAUUGCCUCCGGAUGUGAAGAAAAUGCCAGGCAGGCCAAAAAGAAAUAGAGUCUAAGACCUCGAUGAACCAAAGAAGUCUGGAAAAAUCUCAAAGAAAGGGACACAAAUUAUUUGUUGAUUAUGCAAGUGUAAAGGUCACAACAAAAGUAGCUGCAAAAACAAGGAGCAAUUCAGUCAAAAUACAUCGCAGGAGAGUAUACAUGUUCAACCUCCUACACUUGAUUCGAGCACACUCAAAGAAUUUGCACCAUUCCUUAAUAAAAAUUGGAGUUAUGGUAGAACAGAAAAUGCUGUCAAUAGACCAGUUGGAGGAAUUAGAAUUCAAGACCUGCUAAUCAAGGCCAACAGCCACAAUUUGAACCACAAGCUGCCACUUCAGGAAAGGGAAAAGAAAAAGAUAGAGCCACCACAAAAAAGAAAAAUGCAGGAACAGGAAUGAAUAGCUUCGGAUUCGGUUUGUAUUAUAAUGGUUCAGAUGGUAGUGCCACUUGGAAUCAAGGUAUGUGGACUGAGAAGAUUUUGAAGUCUACCAAUCCAAUACCUGUUGAGUAACAAAGAAAAAUAAUAGCUGAACCCCCUUAGAUGGUUUAUGCGCACAACAAAGCACAUGGUUCAUACACUCAAGCAGGGGCACGUUUCAUCUGUGGGAAUUCUUCUAAUACUCAAGCGUCUACAACGAUUGCACCUUCAUUGCAAGGAACCCAGUUUGCAGGUUCAGAUUAUCUGCAACAUUUCAAUUUCAUUCCAACACCAAAUGCACCUGAGGCACCAAAUACUCAAAAAUCAAGCAAUUUUAUGGACCCAAGCCAAGACUUCAAUCAAGACAGUUCAUAUGGUCUUUUUCCGAGUGUUCCACGUAAGAAGCCAACCAAUAAAAGACAGACAAUGUGGCCAUUGAGGUCUAUUUGGAAGCCAUGAAGCUCUAAAGUGUGAUUUUGUGAUUGUUCUGUUUUGGUAGUUGAUUAAGUACUUUUUAGGGUACCUUUUUUUUGCUUAGAAAUGUCUCUUUUGAAGAAUUGUUUUGAUCUUUUUGCAUAGAUGAUACACAGGAAAGACAGGUGAUACACAGGAAAGGCAUAACAGAUUCAAGGCAUUUUUUGUUUUUUGCCCUGUAUUUUUUAAUUCCUUCAAGCAAAUCUUAUGCAG